rnacentral:ncRNA from 1 species
ACCAGAAGAGGCGCGGCGCUCAGGCAGCACAGUGCAGGACUGCGGAUCCGGUUGCAUUGUGUCAGGGGGUGCGCCGCCGAGACGGGAGAGGCCCACCGCAGGGCGUUCCCGCCGGCUGCGGAGGCUGAAUCCUCCGGGCUGUCACAUGAGUGAAGCGCUUUUG